rnacentral:rRNA from 1 species
CGGCGGACGGGUGAGUAACGCGUGGAUAACCUGCCUCACACAGGGGGAUAACAGUUAGAAAUGACUGUUAAUACCGCAUAAGCGCACGGUACCGCAUGGUACAGUGUGAAAAACUCCGGUGGUGUGAGAUGGAUCCGCGUCUGAUUAGGUAGUUGGUGAGGUAACGGCCCACCAAGCCGACGAUCAGUAGCCGACCUGAGAGGGUGACCGGCCACAUUGGGACUGAGACACGGCCCAA